rnacentral:rRNA from 1 species
UACGAAGGGGGGCUAGCGUUGCUCGGAAUCACUGGGCGUAAAGGGUGCGUAGGCGGGUUUUUAAGUCAGAGGUGAAAUCCUGGAGCUCAACUCCAGAACUGCCUUUGAUACUGAAAGUCUUGAGUAUGGGAGAGGUGAGUGGAACUGCGAGUGUAGAGGUGAAAUUCGUAGAUAUUCGCAAGAACACCAGUGGCGAAGGCGGCUCACUGGCCCAUUACUGACGCUGAGGCACGAAAGCGUGGGGAGCAAACAGG